CUGUGAUGUGGCUAGUGUGCACGUACUUGCCUUAGUCGGUGGAAAAAUUUAUCCCACAUCAGUAGCCCCCUACUGAAAUGCCGAGGCGGAUUGAGUGGAUUUACGAGUAGUUACAACUUGGUGUAUCUCCAACAGCGGACGUGUCUUACAAACGAAUACGUGGGCUAGAGAUUGAUGCUGAAGCCGCGGACGAAAUGGCCAGGUUGCCUUUUAAUGAUGUAUUCGGGGGAAAUAUGGAGUCUGAUUAAUACAAGGCCUGAGGCGGCGCAUUAAUGAAGCUUUUUGGCGGGGGGCGAUGCAAUUAUACCUCGGGAGACGGAACGGCAUCUGAUAGUAAUCUUGCCAUUGAAGCGAUCUCAACCAUCAGUAGUGUUUCCUAUAUAUAUGGGGUCCCCCUUCUUCACUAGACUUUUCUGCGUUGUUGCAAGGAUAUUGCUCUCGCAUUAUUUCCUCCUCGCCCUACUGUGAUCCGCCCAGCAUCUUCUCUUCAGUAACUCUCUUCUCCUGACUUACAGUUAUCAUUCUCAUAGUUUAUGUACAACGUAAUUCCGACGCGUAACUAGAUCGGCGCGACCUAGAUUGUUACCUUUGGGAUAUACGACAUUUAGGAGAAGGUUCCCCUAUAUGGCUGACGAGGGUGGGUAAAUCAAUCACCAUGUCGCCGAUGGAGGGUUCACCCUGAUGUGAAUCCUUUGACCGUCAUCCAUCCUCCUGGAGGAAAAAGCAUAAUAUCAUGACAUUAGAGGAGCUAAACGCUCUUAAGGAAACUGAUCUUUUCUCCAGGAGUGAGGGUGCGGCUUCCCAAAGAAGGGGAGACCACCAUAACUUUUAAUCGCCUAGGCGAGAUAGCUUUUACGAGGCAUGCGUUCCGGCUGACCUUCGUUUUCACCCUUCACUCUACAUUAGGUUAAUCCUCCAAUUGUCUCUAAAUAUGCCCGGCCCCAGUCGGUUCCAAACGCUUGGAAGAAGCAUGCUUGCUCUAUGGCGUGUUGUGGCGGGUUAUUCAAAUACUAUAUUUCCCUUCGAGGUUUCGGCAAACUAUUUAGCCUCAAUAGCAACCAGUACACCGGAUCAAGGAUGGAAACUUCAAAGGCGAGAGAAGACUGAGAAACAAGAAGCUCUGCUCGGAGGAUACCCCAGUAAUGUUAAUGAGGUGAAGAGCAAGUUCUUCUUCAUCGCCGGCGACAUAAGGGAGUUCCUGAAGGAACGACUCGGAGGGCGCCCAAAGGGUUCCAGAUGGACCGUGGGGAAUUCUAGGUCGGUCGCUCUUCUUUUCUACUCUUUUCAUACUUUGAGAUGUCGGGGGGCUAAUAUUAUUAUUUUUUUCAGACAAGCAUACAAUAAUCUACCUCGACUUUUAUGGCGAUGAACCGAAAGUUUUGAAGAGAUUUUUCGGUUCGGUCGAGAAGACGGGAGGCUUCUCACCCGGGCUAUUGGACUCGACGAUAGUAUCGACGAGUAUUGUCUCUCCUGGUUCUAGGCGUCGAGGUUAGCGGGUGAUAAUAUUCUGGAGUGGAGACGCAACGAGUCUCGAGCGAGGGAGUGGAGUUCCAAAAUCCCAUGAACAAGCGGGGCGAGAAAAGCCCGUCCCGAGACGAUUCAAUUGAGUGUCUAGGAUCAUCAGGAACAAACCUGAGGAGGUUGUUACCUCACAUCCUGAUCUGACCCUUUGAGGUGGUCAGGGGGACAGGUUAUGGAUCCGUACAGAUCGUUUUUCGAAUGCUCUGAGCUCAGAAUCAUCGUUCGGGAAUCCUUGUUCGGAUUCGAGCCUACCCGUCGAGCUUGAAUAGGAUGGUAUUGUUCCUUUCUUUGUCUAGGUGACGAUUUAUUUUCUUAUUCUGAAUUCGUAGGUGUGUGCAGCUAUGGCGAAGAGAGUUAGCUUUAAGAAGAUUGGCGAGAAGCUCAGGAAGGCGGGGGGUGCGAGCUGGGGACUCCCGUUCGCACAAAGGGAGUCGUUAAUUGGCGAGGAAGCGGGCCGGAGGAAAGAUGCAUCACCAGCUCGCCCAGCAAAAAGGGGAAUGGUCGAUGACGGCUCGAAGGGAAAAGGAGUUGAAACGGCCCUGAGGGCAAGAAAGGAAGGCGACCUCAUCAGGGCAAAGCCCCGACCACCCAGCCACCGGCAUCUCCUCGUCCUAGGCAGGUUUCCGGCCAUCUAAUUCCGGCACUGUCUGGGCCCCACGGCUUCUAUGUUGGGCAGCACGUAUGGCCGAAGGAAAGAAGUUGUUGCAGGGGAUUCCCCCGGCCGACAAGGAGAAGGUGGAGAAGCUAACCUUGAUCAAAACGGAGAAGAAGCUCUUUCACGUGUUCGGUUAGGGACUUCGGGAGCUGUCAAUUUUUCUAUCGAUUUUCAUUUGAUCGGGAUUGUUAAAAUAAAAAAUGUUCCGUUCUUAUAUCAGCGUUGGUGCUCGGUUUCAUCUUUGGCAGUAUGUAGAAGGGAGGCCGGGGAGCAGGCAUCUAUUCAAGAGGGGGCGAGCUGCUUGCUUCCAUGGAAAAUGAGAUUGCUUGCUCCAAAAGGUACUGGCCGACAUGGGAACAACAAAUGGCUGAGUCAGUGCUCGGAGCAGCGGCCAAUGGACGAGUGGCCAAGGCGAAGACGAUGAGGAUCGCUGUCCGACAGUCGAAGAGGGUCGGUAUGUUGGUGAUGAACGAACGAGGGAAGCUUGAAUUAAUCCAAGAAAUUGCCGUGGAGGAGUUCAAAUCCAGUCGGAGGAGUUCAUCGGUGGCAGUUGAAGAUUCCGCUCCAAAUACUUUGGGAGAGGGGUUUAAACCUUCUGCAAGGUGCAACUCGCCGACAUAAUCCUGACUUGCUAUCGACCUUGGAAGCACUGUGGGUCUGAUCAGAUCUGCUGGCGGAGCAAGAGAGGCGAUGAGGAGAAUGAAAAGGAAAAAAACGGGCGAGAAUGAGGGGGUAAUUGAAAGAUAAUGCCCCGGAGGGUUAAAAUUUUUUUUUUUUUUUGAGAUUGUAUGUAAUGUUAUUCCCUUUGAACGAAAAAGUUUGUGCUCCCCCGUUUUUUGGUAUAUGUUUGUGUUAAUGGUGGAUAAUGAGUUCUGGUGGUGAAAUCUCAAAACCCAAACAAAUUGGCGACUUCAAUAAUGGCGACGAUCAAGAUUCCUUUUGUCAUUUUAUUUCGAACUGGCGGUUUCAAUAUUGGCGACAUCAAUCGUGGCGAUUCAAGAUGUCAUUUCCACAAUGGAUUGGCGAAAGAUUAAUAUUGAAGCAUGAAUAAUUGGCGAUCAAGUGUCAUUCCGAAUGGAUUGACAACCUUAAUUGGCGACAUCAAUCUUUUGUAUAAACGACGAGAUAGAUCAUAGGCGAAUCGCAACAAUUUCCAAUAUAAAAAUCCAAACCAUAAAUCUAGUUGGGGAGUCGUGUGAAUGGAGCGUUUCAUGGCUGUCAUUUAUGAUCGUAUUUCUGCAAAUGCUCGGCAUUCCAGGGAUUGUAAAGUGUUUUCCGUUGGGUAUUCUAACCAGUAAGUCCCGUGGUUCUGGAGACCUUAACGACUUUGAAGGACCUUCCCAAGUUGCGGCUGAGUUCCCCGCAUUUGGUUCUUAGUUGAUAUGGUACCCUCGCAAGACCAGGUCGCCAGGAAGGAACGACGGUGUUUGACCUUUGAUGUAGUAUUUGGCGACUUGGCAUUUGUAAAGCUGCAUUUGGUCGUAGUUCAGCCUUCUCUCUUCUCUCUCGAGGAGAUCAAGUUGAGCUGAGCUCGGCCUCAUUGCUUCUUUAUCGAAAUUCGAAGUUGAAACUUGGGCCUACCUAUUUCUACUGUAGACCAACAGUACCGAAUACCAUGGAGUAUGGAGUUUCGCCGUUAGAAAUCCGCUAGUAGUAUGGAUAGCCCAAAGAUCUUGGCAAGUCUUCCGCCUACUUGCUUUUGUGACCUUGCUAACCUCGCCUUCCAAAUCUGAGGAUGUUACGAUUGGUUACUUCAACUUGCCCAUUAGCUGAGGAUGACCGGGCGAGAGAAAUGAUGGAGUGGCGAGAUCCGAGCAAAAAAGAAUAACUUAAACUUGUCGUUGCCGAACUGCCUUGAGUUUGUCCGAGAUGAUAACCGUUGGGAUUCCGAAUCUGUACACGGUGUUUCCAUACGAAAUUCCGGGUAGUUUUCUCAGUAACUUGGGCGAGAGGCUGAGCUUCUAAAUCAUUUAGUAAAAUGUCCUAUUGGUCGACGAUCAACAAAUUUUCCUUGCAGGGGGCUCGUGGUAAGGGGGACCCCGUAUGUCUAGUCCCACUGGGCUAAUGCCAGGGGCUUGACAAUCGUUACCAUCUCAGUGUGGGGGUAGACGGCUGACGGGGGAAACCUCUGCACUUGUCGCAUCUCCUUAUUAUACGUAGCCGCAUCUCGUUCUAUCAUGGUCGGCCCAAAAAUAUCCCUUGACUAAUAGUUUCCUCGCCAAUGACCUGCUGCUCCCGGAGUUGAUUCCCGCAGAUGUCUUCAUGUAUUUCCUCGUACAACGUGUUCUGUCUGCCCUUCUGGUCGAGACAUUUCAAAAGUGGUCGCUGGAAAAAGACCUUUUUUAUGCGUUUGCUUGAAAAUGCAAACCAUGUGGUCUGUAUUGGAGACGGCGAGCUUUAGCUUAUCCUUUUCAAGAUCCCCUCUCUGGAGAUAGCAAUAAUCUCAUCCAUCCACGGUCGGAUUUUUUUCUAUUUGGAGGAUUUGAUUGUCGACCCCAAAUGCUUGGGCUAGCUAGAAAUUCCCAGAGUUUGCAACCUUUCGAAAUACACUCAAGGUUGAUGCCAGAAUUAGCUAAUGCGAUGUUCCUUCUUAUUAGAUCCUCUCGGGAAUUUUGGUGGCUUUUAAACCUCCUUUAUCUUUGCGGGACGCACGCUUUACCUCGCCCAAGUAAGCCAUCAUUCUUGGCGUCCUUGGCGAAGGCCAAGCCCCUUGGACUGGUUUUCCACCAGUUGUGAGUCACUGAAGAUUUUCAAAUAUUGUGCCCCUAACUCAGUCGUUACUCUUAGUCCUGCGAGGAGGUUCGUACUCGGCUUCAUUGUGUGGCUUUAAUCCCAUUCUUAUGGCGUACUCAUUUGCUCGCCUGAUUGAGUUUGUAUACGAGCCCUUCCCACAACCGUGGCUGGGUUAGAAGAGCCAUCGACGAAUAAUAUCCAGUGGGCGAGGUCUUUUUCUGAGGUUGGUUCUUUUAAGAAUUUCCAUUUCAGGAUGGAGCCGUUUCUGGUUGUGGAUGUCUUUCAUGGUUAGAUGCGACCAUACAAUCAGUCGGGGCCUGGGCCUUUUCUUUCCACCUCGGCCUGUACUCAAUGUGGAACUCACUUAAUCUCGUAUGGACCAUUUAAGUAGUCGACCUAUGUGUCUAAGUCGCUGAAAAAUCUGCCUUAGUGGGUGGGGGGGGGUUUUUGGGGGGGGAUCAUCGGUACUAUGAUGGGAUGGCUUGAAAGUAAUGACGAAGUUUUCUGGCGGCGAUCAAUUAUGGUCGAGGCAAGCUUUUCGAUCUUCGGAUAUCUGCCUCUUCACCCUUAAACUUUGCUAACGUAAUAUAUUGGUCUUUGGACCUGAUCUUCUUCUUGGAUUGAGCACAACACUUACUGCGGUAGGCGAAUAGAUAAAUAUCCGUAGAAAAUUCUCGCCGGGGUGGGGGACUGUGAGUAAGGCGGAACCGAGGCAUACUCUUUCAGCUGUUGGAUGCAUUUUUAUAUUCCUCGUUCCAUUGAAAUGCCUGUGCUUUUUCUCAGGAUUCUAAAAAGGGGAGGCACUUGUCCACAGAUUUGGAGACAAAUCCUGUUAAGGCGGCUACUCGACCAGUCAGCUACUAUACGUCUCGGAUAUUUAUGGGCGACCUCAUCGCAGUUAGGGCUUGGAUCUAUCUGAGUUUACCUCUAUCCACGCUUGGUGAACCUGAAAUCCUAAAAAUUGUCCCGGACGACACUCCAAAAAGUGCAUUUAGCAAGAGGGAUUUCAACAUCAUCCGGUGGCGACGCAUGAUUCUAAAGCGUCUUUAAGGGGGCGAUGUGGUUGGUGAUCUGAGACUUUUUUGACCAGCAAUAUUCAUAAGUGGGGUGGGGAAACUUAGCUUUCAGGUGAUAGUUCGAGGUGAUGUCCUUGAUCCUUUAAAAUACUAUUAAAUUGGUCGCCCCAAGAUGGCGUUUAAGUCGACGGCAAUCUACCAAGAGAAUAAAUCCUGCCAUAUAAACGUAUGGUCUGGUGGGGUCUUCCCAUGAGUUAUCGGUAAGUUUGAUCCAUCCCAAGGGGUGUGGUCGUAUUCCCUCCAAACGAUAGGGGGGUAUGGAAAGUGUGCAACUUGUCCAGCCUAAUUUUCAUUCUUUCGAAAAACGCUAGAUAAACAAGCUAUCCGCCUAUCUCCCGUUGUCGAUUAAAAUCCUUUGGAACGUAAAUUGGGAUGACGCCUCAACAACCAGGCAUCAUCGUGGGGUAAGUGUAAGCCUCUCAAAUCAUCAUUGCUGAAGGUGAUGGGUGUUUUGGGGUUCGCACGAAUUAUGAGGAGAGAUUGUAGAUCUCUUCUUCGGCCGGUCUAUGGGGCACUUCUUGCCUGCCUUUUUCCGGAUGAGGUCAAAUAACUGAAAUACUGCACCGACCCGAAACCUACCGCCAUGGCUGUUUUGUAUAUAUCGCCCCGCAGGUGGUCCCUGUGUCGCUUUAACCACCUUCUUUCUAGGGAGUUGGGCAGUGGGCUAGUAGUCGACUCUUUCCUUCCUCAAAUAACCCCUUUAAUGAGGUCGGCAAUUUGUUCUUUCAAUUGAAAACACUCCUCAGUAUGUGUGUCCGUGAUCCCUGUGGAACUCACAAUAUUUGUUCCUCUUCCUCUUUUUGAGGUCAGUCUAGAUUUCCUUGGGCCAUUUGACGAAUUUUCGUACUAACUUAUGUCUGGAGUACUUGGGCAGACAAACAGGGGCGUGAGUGGGCGGUAGCAUCACUCGUUCGGCGAGGUGGAUUGCGAGGACUCCUAGCUUUAGAGCGCUUAGGAGCUCGGUCCAGGUCUCUUGUGCCUUGUUUCCUCUCUAUAGUCGGGUCCGCCUAGUAUCAGGGUCCCUUUCUCUUAUGAUCAUCCUCUUCUCGGUGCCUUCGUUUGGCUCGCUACCUCUUAGGGCGGCAAUAUACUUUCGGCUUUGCUCGGAGUGUCUAUAAGAAUUUCAGAACGUUUUUUGAACGGGAGUCGAACACGGACGGCAGGUUGAAGUCCUUCCAUCAUUGCCAUGAUUAUCACCUUGUCGCUAGAUCCUCAACUUCUAAUACAGCCUGAUUGACCGUUUCACAAAACUUUCAAUCUCUCGGUUUCUUUUUGGUGGACAGUAACAAGGUGAGAAGUAUUCUUCUGUCAUUUUUGCAGCUCAUGAAAUUGACGACAAAAAAAGGAGGGAGUCGACUAAAAUCGCCAAAAGAGUCUCUGAUUCCUGGUGAUAAGUUUUUCUAACACGACCUGGCCGCCCUUUCCAAGUGGCAGACGAACGCUUGCACAUACCUCAUCCGUAGGCAAACCCUAGAGCGACAUUAGGCUUUUGUACGGUCCGGGGUCCAUCGGAUC
rnacentral:lncRNA from 1 species